rnacentral:rRNA from 1 species
UACGUAGGGGGCUAGCGUUGUCCGGAUUUAUUGGGCGUAAAGCGCGCGUAGGCGGUUAUCUAAGUCGGAUGUGAAAGCCCUCGGCUUAACUGAGGAAGUGCACCCGAAACUGGAUAGCUAGAGUACGAAAGAGGGUCGCGGAAUUCCCGGUGUAGAGGUGAAAUUCGUAGAUAUCGGGAGGAACACCGGUGGCGAAGGCGGCGACCUGGGUCGAGACUGACGCUGAGGCGCGAAAGCGUGGGGAGCAAACAGG